CCAGACUCCUACGGGAGGCAGCAGUGGGGAAUAUUGCACAAUGGGGGAAACCCUGAUGCAGCGACGCCGCGUGAGCGAUGAAGUAUUUCGGUAUGUAAAGCUCUAUCAGCAGGGAAGAAAAUGACGGUACCUGAGUAAGAAGCCCCGGCUAACUACGUGCCAGCAGCCGCGGUAAUACGUAGGGGGCAAGCGUUAUCCGGAUUUACUGGGUGUAAAGGGAGCGUAGACGGCAGUGCAAGUCUGGAGUGAAAGGCGGGGGCUCAACCCCCGGACUGCUCUGGAAACUGUACGGCUGGAGUGCAGGAGAGGUAAGUGGAAUUCCUAGUGUAGCGGUGAAAUGCGUAGAUAUUAGGAGGAACACCAGUGGCGAAGGCGGCUUACUGGACUGUACCUGACGCUGAGGCGCGAAAGCGUGGGUGGCGAACGGGAUUAGAUACCCGAGUA
rnacentral:rRNA from 1 species